rnacentral:rRNA from 1 species
UACGUAGGGUGCGAGCGUUAAUCGGAAUUACUGGGCGUAAAGCGUGCGCAGGCGGUUUUGUAAGCCAGAUGUGAAAUCCCCCGGGCUCAACCUGGGAAUUGCAUCUGUGACUGCAUAGCUAGAGUACGGUAGAGGGGGGAUGGAAUUCCGCGUGUAGCAGUGAAAUGCGUAGAUAUGCGGAGGAACACCGAUGGCGAAGGCAAUCCCCCUGGACCUGUACUGACGCUCAUGCACGAAAGCGUGGGGAGCAAACGGGG